rnacentral:rRNA from 1 species
AUUGAACGCUGGCGGCAGGCCUAACACAUGCAAGUCGAACGAGUGGCGGACGGGUGAGUGAUGUCUGGGAAACUGCCCGAUGGAGGGGGAUAACUACUGGAAACGGUAGCUACUACCGCAUACCAUCGGAUGUGCCCAGAUGGGAUUAGCUUUUAGGUGGGGUAACGGCUCACCAAGGCGACGAUCCCUAGCUGGUCUGAGAGGAUGACCAGCCAACCGGGAACGGAGACACGGUCCAGACUCCUCCGGGAGGCAGCAGUGGGGAAUAUUGGACAAUGGGCGAAAGCCUGAUGCAGCAAUGCCGCGUGUAUGAAGAAGGUCUUCGGGUUGUAAAGUACUUUCAGCGGGGAGGCGUUACCCGCAGAAGAAGCACCGGCUAACUCCGUGCCAGCAGCCGCGGUAAUUC